AUAUACCUUUGUUCAAAAGGCAAAGAAAAACCUCCUAAAUCUAUUAAUCGAACUUGAGACUGUAAAUUCCUCAUCUGUAAUAGCAGGCAGGUGGGGAGUUUUAGGUCCAGUGGC
rnacentral:ncRNA from 1 species